rnacentral:rRNA from 1 species
AGCGAACGUUUGCGGCGGGCCUAACACAUGCAAGUCGAACGCACUAGCAAUAGUGAGUGGCGCACGGGUGCGUAACACGUGGGUAAUCAACCCUUCAGCCUGGGAUAACGACUCGAAAGGGUCGCUAAUACCGGAUACGGCGCGAGAGGCUUCGGCUUCUCACGAGAAAGCCACGCAAGGGGCACUGAAGGACGAGCCUGCGGCCCAUCAGCUAGUUGGUGAGGUAAGAGCUCACCAAGGCUAAGACGGGUAGCUGGUCUGAGAGGAUGAUCAGCCACACUGGAACUGAGACACGGUCCAGACUCCUACGGGAGGCAGCAGUGGGGAAUAUUGCGCAAUGGGCGAAAGCCUGACGCAGCCACGCCGCGUGAGCGAUGAAGGCCUCGGUCGUAAGACUCUGUGGGAGGAGACGAAGAAAGACCUGUGAAGAGCAGGCCGUUGACGGUAGUCUCCUUA